rnacentral:rRNA from 1 species
CCUACGGGAGGCAGCAGUGGGGAAUUUUGGACAAUGGGCGAAAGCCUGAUCCAGCCAUUCCGCGUGCAGGACGAAGGCCUUCGGGUUGUAAACUGCUUUUGUACGGAACGAAAAAGCCUUGGCCAAUACCCAAGGUCCAUGACGGUACCGUAAGAAUAAGCACCGGCUAACUACGUGCCAGCAGCCGCGGUAAUACGUAGGGUGCGAGCGUUAAUCGGAAUUACUGGGCGUAAAGCGUGCGCAGGCGGUUAUAUAAGACAGAUGUGAAAUCCCCGGGCUCAACCUGGGAACUGCAUUUGUGACUGUAUAGCUGGAGUGCGGCAGAGGGGGGAUGGAAUUCCGCGUGUAGCAGUGAAAUGCGUAGAUAUGCGGAGGAACACCGAUGGCGAAGGCAAUCCCCUGGGCCUGCACUGACGCUCAUGCACGAAACGACGGUGGGGAGGACGAAACAAGGAGUUAGUAUACCCUACGGUUAGGUACCGACCGACCCGUAAACGACUACGUACUACGUAGGUUAGUUGGGUUCGUUCGUACUCGACUCGACGUACGAGACG